rnacentral:lncRNA from 1 species
UUGUUUGGGGUAAAAAUAUGUUAGAAUACAUUAAAUUUGAUUGAUUAAAAGUACUAGAGAUGCAUGAAGAGUGUUUAGAAGAGUGUAGAAAGACAUGCUGAAAUUUGGGCCGAAAUGAGCUAAGAACCCACAACCAUUGCUUUCAAGCAUUAAAUGGCUUGAUUAAUGUUUUUUGUGAUUAAAAUAUGUUAGAAUGCAAUAAGUUUGAUUGAUUACAACUGUUAGAGCAUCAUGAAGAGUGUUUAGAAGUUUGGAGAAAGACUUGUUAAAAUUUGGUCCCAAA